CGGGUGAGUAACGCGUGGGUAACCUGCCUCAUACAGGGGGAUAACAGUUAGAAAUGACUGCUAAUACCGCAUAAGCGCACGAGAUCGCAUGAUAAAGUGUGAAAAACUCCGGUGGUAUGAGAUGGACCCGCGUCUGAUUAGCUGGUUGGUGGGGUAACGGCCCACCAAGGCGACGAUCAGUAGCCGACCUGAGAGGGUGACCGGCCACAUUGGGACUGAGACACGGCCCAAACUCCUACGGGAGGCAGCAG
rnacentral:rRNA from 1 species